rnacentral:ncRNA from 2 species
GGAUUUGUGAAUACCUCGGGUGGCCCGCGAGGGCCUUGUACGGGAAUCCGGUGCGAAUCCGGAGCGGUCCCGCCGCUGUAAGCCCGCGAAGAUGAUCGGUCAUGGAGCCACUGGAGCGCGACUCCGGGAAGGCGGCCGGUUUGGGCGAGCCAGAAGACCUGCCCGAGGCCAACCUCAACC